UACGUAGGUGACCAGCGUUGUCCGGAUUUACUGGGCGUAAAGAGCGCGCAGGCGGUCGUUCAAGUCGAGUGUGAAAGCCCCCCGGCUCAACUGGGGAGGGUCACUUGAUACUGAUCGACUCGAAGGCAGGAGAGGGUAGUGGAAUUCCCGGUGUAGUGGUGAAAUGCGUAGAUAUCGGGAGGAACACCAGUGGCGAAGGCGACUACCUGGCCUGUUCUUGACGCUGAGGCGCGAAAGCUAGGGGAGCAAACGGG
rnacentral:rRNA from 1 species